AAAAAUAAAAGAUUUCAAAUAAUAAAAAACGUUUAUUUAAAAAAAAUCACACUGCAAAAAAAUAAACUAUUGCCAUUUUAUGCAGUUACCACCAGAUUAAUUCAUUGUAUGCUCAUUCAUUUUGCUUUCGGUUUUGUUCCAUUUUUGCGGAUCUAAAAUCUUUGCUUUUGAGUUGAAAAGUUUUGCGAGUUGAAAACUGCAGCUCAGUGGGCGGGAUCUUAUGAAACACCUUAUUCUAUUGGUCAUCUUGAUUGAGGUCACAGGUUGGCCACGCCCAUUACAUUUUCGCGCGGUUGGAAUUGCCUUCCUGACAGGAGCGAGCUAAUGGCUAGCAACAGGUCUUCUUUAAGUUUAUUCUUACAGGUUGAUCACUCAGUCUUAUGGGGCGUAAAACAUCUGCUUUGACUCCUCGGAUGUCCAAAUCUGCACUGACUCCACAGACGUUUACAUCUGCACUGUCUUAAAUCAACGAAUCAAUAUCUACAAUCUACAAUGAUUCCACUGGCGUCCACAUCUGCAUUAUCUCCUUAGACAUCAACAUUUGGACUGACUGACCACAGACAUUUAUUAUUCACUAAACUUAUCAAUCACCACCUGUGCUGUGUUUAAUUUUUUUCUGGAAUUGUGUAGGAUUUGGAAAAUAGUAGAUUUUGACUUUUUAUAAAUGAUUAUAAAUAUGAUUUUUUUAUACAUUUAUUGUUUCCCUUUCUGGAAUAAAGGAAUAUAAACAGCU